rnacentral:rRNA from 1 species
GAUGAACGCUGGCGGCGUGCCUAAUACAUGCAAGUCGAACGAAACUUCUUUAUCACCGAGUGCUUGCACUCACCGAUAAAGAGUUGAGUGGCGAACGGGUGAGUAACACGUGGGCAACCUGCCCAAAAGAGGGGGAUAACACUUGGAAACAGGUGCUAAUACCGCAUAACCAUAGUUACCGCAUGGUAACUAUGUAAAAGGUGGCUAUACUACCGCUUUUGGAUGGGCCCGCGGCGCAUUAGCUAGUUGGUAGGGUAAAGGCUUACCAAGGCAAUGAUGCGUAGCCGAAUUGAGAGGUUGAUCGGCCACAUUGGGACUGAGACACGGCCCAAACUCCUACGGGAGGCAGCAGUAGGGAAUCUUCCACAAUGGGCGAAAGCCUGAUGGAGCAACGCCGCGUGGGUGAAGAAGGUCUUCGGAUCGUAAAACCCUGUUGUUAGAGAAGAAAGUGCGUGAGAGUAACUGUUCACGUUUCGACGGUAUCUAACCAGAAAGCCACGGCGAACUACGU